AUUGAACGCUGGCGGCAGGCCUAACACAUGCAAGUCGAACGGUAACAGGUAGCAGCUUUCUGCUUCGCUGACGUGUGGCGGACGGGUGGGUAAUUUCUGGGAAACUGCCUGCUGGAGGGGGAUAACUAUUGGAAACGGUCUCUAAUACCGCAUAACGUCGCAACACCAAAGAGGGGGCCCUUAUGGCCUCUUGCUUUCUGAUGUGCUCAGAUGGCAUUAGCUAGUAGGUGGGGUAACGGCUCACCUAGGUGACCAUCACUAGCUGGUCUGAGAGGAUGACAAGCCACACUGGAACUGAGACACGGGCCAGACUCCGACGGGAGGCAGCAGUGGGGAAUAUUGGACAAUGGGCGCAAGCAUGAUGCAGCAAUGGCGCGUGUAUGAAGAAGGCAUUGGGGUUGGAAAGUAGUAGCAGCGGGGAGGAAGGGAGUAAAGUUAAGACCUAUAAGCAUUGACGGUACCCGCAGAAGAAGCACCGGCUAACUCCGUG
rnacentral:rRNA from 1 species